GUGGAAAUGAGUGUGUUACGUACCGAGAGCCUCCAGGUCGUCUUUGUGAUGUUCGCAGCACUUUGUGUCAAAUCCGGUAGAACAGCUGAACAAGUGUAUGGAUUAAUAGGAAAAGAGGCUCAACUGGAUCCGAAAGAGACUGAAACCAUCAAUAGGAUCACAUGGAAGAAAGAGAACAACAAAAUAGUCGAGUGGAUCGAGAAUCCAAAACCGCACAGGUAUUCCAGAUGUUUGACUGAAGACCAGUGUAACCUGAAUAAGUCAACUGGGGUGCUGAUAUUGAAAGGGUUAAAACGAGAAGAUAAAGGACGAUACUUUUCCGAAAUAAACAGUAAAGGACCCGCAAAGGAAUUUGAGCUCAUUGUACUCGAACCUGUGUCCAAACCUCGAGUCGCCAGAGACUGCAGUUGGACCCAGUGCAUCCUGGCCUGUGUGGGAGAGGAGACUAAUCA